rnacentral:tRNA from 1 species
GCCUUCGUGGUGUAGUGGUCAGCGUGCUCGACGCGUAACCGAGAGGUCCGUGGUUCGAUUCGGGGCGAAGGCG